UGUGCCACGUCACAUGGAGUGAAUACGAAGGUAUUGAACACCAACACAUAUGUACAUUCUGUAGGUAGCACGGUAGCAUGCAACAGAAAUUGGGCACGAUCAGGAUUGCAAAAUGGCAAAUAAUGAAACAGCAUCAACAUUAAUUAAUCCGACUGGAGAAAGUGUCGUAAAUAACAACCAACGCCAGUAAAUAGGGUAACUUGUCUAAACCAAAUUCUUGCUAUAACUGGAAAUUUCCAACUGGAUCUCACUAUCAAUAUUUCUACCGCAAGUUCCCGUUCUUUUUCUUGGACAUCGUCACUACUGGACUGCCGCCGCAUUUCCAUGCGCUGAAUUGCCUUUUCUGAGAACGGCGUCGGGGUAGCUAUCUCGGUCCUGAAUCCUACCAGAAGACACAAAAUAGCUAUGGUUGACCUAUAAAUAGCAACAGUGACCUUGACUUUAACUUUGGGAACUCAUGGAAGGUUAUUCCCGUAUUCGACCUUUGUAUAAACAGGGAUGAAAUUUGGUUAAGAGCUGAAGCUGUGAA